UACUAAAGUUGUUGCGGUUAAAAAGCUCGUAGUUGAAAUUGUGUCCUGCGGUGUCGGUCUACCGAAUGCGGUACGACAGGCACGUCUGCGAAGCUUCUCGCCGAUGCGUCCACCGCCGGCGUGUGUCNGUCGGCCUCACGGUCGGCCGCNNNNCAAGGCGGGCCGUCGCRGCUGUUUACUUUGAACAAAUUANAGUGCUCAAAGCGGGCUUACACUUGCCUGAAUAUUGUACGCAUGGAAUAAUAGAAUAGGACCUCGGUUCUGUUUUGUUGGCUUUCUGAUACCAGAGGUAAUGAUUAAUAGGGACAACUGGGGGCAUUCGUAUUGCGACGUUAGAGGUGAAAUUCUUGGAUCGUCGCAAGACGGACUAAAGCGAAAGCAUUUGCCAAAGGUGUUUUCAUUAAUCAAGAACGAAAGUUAGAGGUUCGAAGGCGAUUAGAUACCGCUGUAGUUCUAACCAUAAAUGAUGCCAGCCAGCGAUCCGCCGAAGUUUCAUAAUUKUAACUCGGUGGGCAGCUCCCGGGAAACCAAAGCUUUC
rnacentral:rRNA from 1 species